AAAAUCUUCUAGGAGCAGCUAACAAGAAUCCUAAUACAGGAGUGUUUAUGGUUGGGUUGAGACACAUUCAGUAGCUGAGUGAUUGACAGCAAGAGGAGCAAGACAUGAGGUUAAUAAUUAUCAAAUAUAUGGCAAUGCUGGACUUUAGCUGAUCAUCGUGCUUCUGGAAAACAACAAAAAUUGAGAUAUCUGUUCACCACUUUGUGUGUCCAAGGACCACCUACUUUUUACAUGUGACAAGAACUACCCACCUCCACUCUUCAGAACAUGCUGAAGAAAAGAGUUGCAAUGAGAAAAUAUAUGGGAACAAAAUACCUAUGCAAUGCAGAAGUCUGCAUAACUGAACCACUCAGAGGAAAAAGUGUUAACUACCCAUCUAUGGCAAAUUAAUUAUGCUCAUUGGAUUAUUUUACUUUUAUUCAAAUUUUGUUAUCUGGUACUUAUUAUAUGGAAUAUGCAAAUCGAAGUCCUGUCCUUCAGCAAUCAAUAAGAUUGCCAUUUCAGGACACCUCCUACAUCUGAGGAAAUAUGCAUUGAUCUUGCAGUACUUUUCUCCUCCAAAUAAAAGUCAGUAUGAUAACAACUACA
rnacentral:lncRNA from 1 species